ACGGGGCCCGCACAAGCGGUGGAGCAUGUGGUUUAAUUCGAUGCAACGCGAAGAACCUUACCUGGUCUUGACAUCCACAGAACUUUCCAGAGAUGGAUUGGUGCCUUCGGGAACUGUGAGACAGGUGCUGCAUGGCUGUCGUCAGCUCGUGUCGUGAGAUGUUGGGUUAAGUCCCGCAACGAGCGCAACCCUCGACCUUAGUUGCCAGCAUUCAGUUGGGCACUCUAAGGUGACUGCCGGCUAAAAGUCGGAGGAAGGUGGGGAUGACGUCAAAUCAUCAUGCCCCUUAUGACCUGGGCUACACACGUGCUACAAUGGGCGGUACAAAGGGUCGCGAACCCGCGAGGGGGAGCCAAUCCCAAAAAGCCGCUCUCAGUUCGGAUUGCAGGCUGCAACUCGCCUGCAUGAAGCCGGAAUCGCUAGUAAUCGCGGAUCAGCAUGCCGCGGUCGAAUACGUUCCCGGGCCUU
rnacentral:rRNA from 1 species